GGCCUCCUGGUGCUUACUACAUGCUGUGUUUUAACACUGACUGUAUAGAAAGAGGAGGCAGAGCAAACCUGCCUCAUAUACACCCCAGCCCAGGCCACUGUGCCUGGUAUGUGUUGGGAAUGGGGAGACAUAG
rnacentral:snoRNA from 1 species